AUUUUAAAUUUGGCAAACAAGUCCAAGCGUUGUUUUCAAGCUUCUCUACUCUACUUUACUUACUUUAUAUAUUGUAUUGACAGUUCUAUCCUUAUUAAAAAAUGUCAUUCCCACUCUCAUAACCAAACAACUAAACUCCACUCGCCGAUAUUUUGCCAAAAAUUUCCUGAGCCCCGCGCACAAAAUGUAGCGCGUGAAUAUCCAUACCCUUUUUCGAGAGUAGAAACAAACCUCACCGAAUUUACCCCUGACAUUUGUGUCUAUAUUUUCUUCUCUCAAAGAUUCAUCUCGCACCACUUUCUCUCCUCCCAAACAAAGCAAAUCUCAGCGAGAGAAGGUCCUUCCUUAUCCAAUUUUAGGGUUUCUAUUCUUCGCUAA